GCCAGUUCUGGCCUCUCACACCAACCCUACAAUCAUUCUAAAAAUAAGUGAUAACAUCAUCGAAAUCUUAAAGCUACGAAAUAAUGCAGGAUUAGCUUAAAACAAUACGGAUGAAUAAAUAUUAUAUUUGACAGAAUAAUCUGAAUGCUAAAGGGUUUAAUAAGAGAAAGUUCAGAUGACUGAUAAAACA
rnacentral:lncRNA from 1 species